ensembl:lncRNA
CGAUGAAUGUGUGGACAUAGGGCAGACCUGAGGGUUCUGCUCCAAUCCAAAUGCAGAAAGAGACCGCGUGGGUUCUUCGAGGAUGGAGGUCAUACACAAGCGCGUCCUCUUCCAAAACAGUUCAGUACACAGGGAGUAGUCAGCCAGUCCAGGUUAAUCCAGUUCAUUCACCCUGGAUUCCCGUCACUCCCGCCUGGCAACUUGAACCUCUCCCCCACGUCACGACAUCACCGGAUGUCCCCCUUGUCCAAUAAAUACUCACCUUGUCACGAUCUACCUUGCAUAGUUUACAUUUGGGUUCACACUGGAGUUGUGACACCAAUGCUGUUUACUGGACAUGUUAUUUUUUGCGUUUUGUGUUUUUAUUCUGAAGCGCAGAGGCUGCUAUUAAUUCUACAUGAAUUAAAAAAACAACAACACAUUUCUGUUUAAAAAAAAUCAAAAAAUAGUUAAUUGUGUUUUAAAUACAAAAUUAUACAACCACUCUAUGGAAUGUCCUUUGGUGACACCACACACCAAAAGGCCCUCAGGCUUAAUAUGCUUAUUUCAAUGGAAUGUUUGACUGUGUCUCUUCUCUCAUCAAUACUCGUAGCGUCAGAUCUUAAUAAUGCAAACCAGUGGAUCCCGGUUGGAUGCAGCUGAUGCUUUUACUCACAUGCUCUGACCCUGUUUUUCUUAAACCCUCGCUUUCCAUCACUUGUCUGAGUUAUAAUCUUCAUUUGUUCGAGGUACACUAUUUACUAAAAACGCAAGCUUUCUUCCGAGUUUGAAUAUGGGACCAGAGUGUCAUCAACCAUAGUUUUUGCGCCAAAGCUGUUUUUUCAU